AUUAGUAUAAUUGGAAUUACACAUUAGAUUACUUAGGGGAAAAAUCAGCCUACAAAUUAGUCAAAUUAAACAUUACAUAAUAUGAUGCCCUCCCGUACUUAACCUAAACCCACCGGGUUUCUUCCUAGUUGACUGGAAUCCAACCGAUUGCCGCCGACUGUGGCUUCUUUCCCAACCCUAAUGACAAGAUCAGAGGCACACGACCCUGUGUGUGUGACCUCUAGCAGACGAGUUGUUCUACCUUCAUACUCGUCGUUUUCUCUUGUUGUAAUCGAAGGGCACGUUGUUUAUCAAACUACAUACAAUGUUUAUCAAACUACACAAACCGCAAUAAAUAUGCGGGCUUAUAAGUUUCGAGUCUAAACCGAGAACAUCCUUACUAAGCUUUAGUGGGAAGUGCAGGUUGAAGAGACAAUCUGAUAAGGACUCGCAGCUCUGUGUGUGACGCAGUUAGCCACCAAUCAGUGGCACAUUAUGGUAAAAGUAGGUCUUUCUUGGCCAUUAUUUAUUAAAUUAAUCCUUGAUAGCGAAUGAUUAGCUUUUCUAUAAAAAAAAGCAACCCUUUUAUAUUUAAUUUGCAAUGCUAAAGCCCAUGAGUUAUUAUG